GGUCUCCGUUGGUGAACCCAGCGGAGGGAUCAUUA
rnacentral:rRNA from 1 species